GUUCCUACGGGGAGCAGCAGUGGGGAAUAUUGCACAAUGGGGGAAACCCUGAUGCAGCGACGCCGCGUGAGCGAAGAAGUACCUCGGUAUGUAAAGCUCUAUCAGCAGGAAAGAAAUGACGGUACCUGAGUAAGAAGCCCCGGCUAACUACGUGCCAGCAGCCGCGGUAAUACGUAGGGGGCAAGCGUUAUCCGGAAUUACUGGGUGUAAAGGGAGCGUAGACGGUGAAGUAAGUCUGGAGUGAAAGGCGGGGGCCCAACCCCCGGACUGCUCUGGAAACUAUUUGACUGGAGUGCAGGAGAGGG
rnacentral:rRNA from 1 species